CUGCCCAUAAGACAAAUUAUUUUGAAGGAAAGGAGUUGGUCUUUUCGUCUUUACAACCCAAGCCCCUGGCACAGUGCCUGCUCAGGAUGUUUUGACUCUACUCUUUGGACCCCACAGUAAAGAGAUGAGUGCUGGGGUGACGGUGACAAAAAACGAGGUAGAAGAGUGCUGCAAGUGCUGAAGAACUAACUGACAAACUGUUUAAAGGAGUUCCCUUGCUAAGGGAAGAUAUCAGAAAGGAAAAGAGCCAAAUGGAAAACAAAGCACUAUUUGUAUUAAGCAUUACCUUGUCUACCACACGAUGGUAAAAAUUGCCUUGGAAAAUGUGGCUGAAGCUGAGGAUGUUCAGCGAGGCUUCCAGCUUCUUCCCCCUGAGUCUGUCCAAACAGUCUUCUCAGGUGGAGAGUCUGGAAUGGAAGAUGGAGGAGGGAAGCCAGGCCUGACUCAAGGGCAUGAGCCCUGCCAGGUGGGAAACAUCCAGUAUCAUCUGAGAAGCUAGACCCACUUAUGGAACCAACUAGUUGGAAGAAAGGAAGCAGAAGUGAAGAAGACAAACAUUGAUCCUGACCAUGAAAUGUGACCCUCUUAGAACCUCACUGUCUAACAUGGGAGCCACUAGCCACAUGUGGCCACUGAAUGCUUGAAAACAUGGCAAGUGUGAAGUGAGAUCUCUCGUUAAGUGUAUAAUACAAACUUGAUUUUGAAGACAGUACAAAAGAAUGUAAAGUACCUUAUUAAUAUUUUGUAUAUUGCUUAUUUGUUUAAAUGAUAAUAUUUUAGAUAUAUUGGGUAAAAUAAAAUAUAU